rnacentral:rRNA from 1 species
UACGUAGGGACCAAGCGUUGUUCGGAUUUACUGGGCGUAAAGGGCGCGUAGGCGGCGCGGUAAGUCACUUGUGAAAUCUCUGAGCUUAACUCAGAACGGCCAAGUGAUACUGCAGUGCUAGAGUGUGGAAGGGGCAAUCGGAAUUCUUGGUGUAGCGGUGAAAUGCGUAGAUAUCAAGAGGAACACCUGAGGUGAAGACGGGUUGCUGGGCCAACACUGACGCGGAUGCGCGAAAGCCAGGGGAGCAAACGGG